AGAGUUUGAUCCUGGCUCAGAAUGAACGCUGGCGGCGUGGAUUAGGCAUGCAAGUCGAACGAGAAAGCGGUUUUUAAUCGUGAGUAAAGUGGCGAACGGGUGAGUAACACGUGGGAAACCCGCCCUAGAGUGGGGAAUAACAUUUCUAACGAAAUGCUAAUACCGCAUAAUAUUACAGAACGCAUGUUCUGUAUUCAAAGGAAGCCUCUAUUUAUAAGCUUUCGCUCAAGGAUGGUCCCGCGUCCAAUUAGCUUGUUGGUAGGGUAAUGGCCUACCAAGGCGACGAUUGGUAGCCGGCCUGAGAGGGUGUCCGGCCACACUGGGACUGAGACACGGCCCAGACUCCUACGGGAGGCAGCAGUCGAGAAGCUUCGGCAAUGGGGGAAACCCUGACCGAGCGACGCCGCGUGGGUGAUGAAGUCCUUCGGGAUGUAAAGCCCUGUCAUACGGGAUGAAAAAUUGAUUGGUUAAUUACCUUUCAAUCUGACAGUACUGUAAGAGGAAGCUCCGGCUAACUCCGUGCCAGCAGCCGCGGUAAUACGGGGGGAGCGAGCGUUAUUCGGAUUUACUGGGCAUAAAGGGUUCGUAGGCUGUCUUGAAAGACAGAGGUGAAAUCUAGCGGCUUAACCGCUAAAUUGCCUUUGAAACUACUUGACUUGAGGACAGGAGAGGAAAGCGGAAUUCUUGGUGUAGCGGUGAAAUGCGUGGAUAUCAAGAAGAACACCGGUGGUGAAAACGGCUUUCUAGCCUGUAACUGACGCUGAGGAACGAAAGCUAGGGUAGCAAACGGGAUUAGAUACCCCGGUAGUCCUAGCCAUAAACGAUGGGCACUAGGUGUGGGAGGUAUCGACCCCUUCCGUGCCGGAGUUAAUGCAUUAAGUGCCCCGCCUGGGGAGUACGAUCGCAAGGUUGAACUCAAUGAAUUGACGG
rnacentral:rRNA from 1 species